UGGAAUUGGUUUUUUUGAAGUGACACACUGU
rnacentral:piRNA from 1 species